GCUGGACAUGGUGGUGCAUGUCUAUAAUCCCAGUGGCUUGGGAGGCUGAGGCAGGAGGAUCACAAGUUCAAAGGCAGCCUCAGCCACUUAAUGAUGCCCUAAGUAACUUAGUGAGAUCCUGUCUCAA
rnacentral:sRNA from 1 species